CGAGCAUGAAUGGCCGCUUGUUCCCUGCAUGUAGCAGCAUGGCCCUUCUGGUUGCCGUGCAGGACGUCCUGGGCCCUCUGCCUGGUGGGCUUCCUCGGUGGGCAGCCUGCCAGUCCUGGGCUGGCUGGGAAGGCUGUGGGUGGCCCCAGCUCAGUCUGUGGUAAGAGAUGUUGUGGCUUUCCUCUGUUUUUCCACCUUUCUCCCAAACGACUUAAUUUUGGUCUUCCUGGAUAUGUAAGUCCUCCAGAAAACGGUUUAUAAAAAGCAUCGGCCUCUCUGACUUCAUCAGCCAGCCUCAAGGACGCCAGGACCAUUUAGGUCCCUGUUGGAAAAGCAGGGCAUUUCCUAACACUGAGGUGGGCAGCUCCAGGCGCCGGGUGACCUGACCCUGCAGGGGCCAACUUCGCCUCAGGACUUUGAUCUGCC
rnacentral:lncRNA from 1 species